CUAAAUUUAAAGCUUCUUGUGCAUUUGUAUUUAAUAAUAAAAUUUAUUAUUUUCUAAGAGCCUUGUGGGCUUGUGAUUGGAGAAAAAGAGGAUGGACUCCUGGAUUUCCAGGUGCCAAAGGUGAGAUGGGCGUCAUGGGAGCCCCUGGGCCUCCAGGCCCCCCAGGAACUCCUGGAAGAAAUGGCCUUCCUGGCUCAAAAGAGAACAGAAGCAAAACAGAUCGAUCAACUCAAGCUAUUGCUUAUGAUGAUUCAUCCAGCCACACAAGCUUAUUUUUCUUUAGCUGA
rnacentral:lncRNA from 1 species